rnacentral:tRNA from 1 species
ACACUGCUGGUUCAGUGGCAGAAUCCUUGUCUUCCACGUGGGAGACCUGGGUUCGAUUUCCAGACAGUGUA